rnacentral:rRNA from 1 species
GACGAACGCUGGCGGCGUGCCUAAUACAUGCAAGUCGAGCGCAGGAAGCUGACGGAACUCUUCGGAGAGAAGGCAGUGGAAUGAGCGGCGGACUGGUGAGUAACACGUAAGGAACCUGCCUCAAGGAUUGGGAUAACUCCGAGAAAUCGGAGCUAAUACCGGAUAGUUCAACGGACCGCAUGGUCCGCUGAUGAAAGGCGCUUCGGCGUCACCUUGAGAUGGCCUUGCGGUGCAUUAGCUAGUUGGUGGGGUAACGGCCCAACAAGGCAACGAUGCAUAGCCGACCUGCGAGGGUGAUCGGCCACACUGGGACUGAGACACGGCCCAGACUCCUACGGGAGGCAGCAGUAGGGAAUCUUCCACAAUGGACGAAAGUCUGAUGGAGCAACGCCGCGUGAGUGAUGAAGGUUUUCGGAUCGUAAAACUCUGUUGUAAGGGAAGAACACGUACGAGAGGGAAUGCUCGUACCUUGACGGUACCUUACGAGAAAGCCACGGCUAACUACGUGCCAGCCGCCGCCGUAA